UUUCAUUAUGCUUUCUAUGUCAACAAUUUUCUCAAGUAGUUAUUGUGUGCAAGGCAUAAUGCAGGGAGCGAAAUGGAAGGUGGAGGAAAUAAUGAUGAAUGAACCAUGGACCCUUCCAGUGAAGAGCUUGUGGAUUUGGUACUUGUUGAUUUAAAGGCCAAAUCAAAACUCUGGCUGGAAAUUAAAUUACUCAAGGAGAGAACAAAGCAAGAGAAAAAGAGGCCUCAUGAUGUAACCAUGAUUUCCUGUUAGACCAGGCAAUGGGAUCGGUUAAUCAGCAGAGGCAGUUCAAGCUGGGAAAAAGAAAAGUGAUGCAAAGACCCCUCAAAACAAAGAAACAUCACUUUGCUUCCAUUCUCUUUUGGUGCAGGGCAAAGCCUUUGUUUUGUGUGCAGAUCUGUUGGUAGGAACUCUGCUGAGCCGCUGAAGCCAAAGAACAUCGUUCAGAUUCCAGUCUCUGCUUCACUGAGUGGGGCAAGAUCUUCAGGAUAUUUGUAUGGGAGACUGAGAAGUUCAAGAUCUGUGGUCAGCAAGCUGGAGACCCAGAAGAGCUGAGGGCAAUUUUCCAAUUAAAGUUCAAAGGCCUGUGAACCAGGAGAGCAGCUGAUAUAUGUCUCAACCCGACUUUGAGUCCAAAGGUAGAAGACUGAUGUUUCAAGUUAAAGACCUUAAGGCAAAAACACUCCAGGUAAAAGCUGAUACUCCCCAUAGCCGGGAACGAUGCCAUCACUACCACAAGAUGAAACAGGCACGCAAGAUUGAGAAGUGCUGGGGUGAAGCAACAUUCAGCUGUAUUUUCUUUGCUCUUCAGAUAAUAAUGACUCUGGGGAAGGAGGAGAAAACUCCAGAACUACUUUGUUCUCUUCAAAGCGCCAGCCUCAGGAGAACAAGAGGACAAGGCUCUUCGCAGACCAGGAAGCAACAGCACACGCUGUCCCUGUGUCUUUAAUUUAUUAUAUUAAUGAUAUGAAGGUCAAAAAUUCCUUCCUUUAAAAAAAUUUAAAAAGAUGGGUAGUGGAUAGAAAAAACCUUAAUUGUGGCCUUAAAAUCAAAAAUUUAUUUUAUCUACAUUUUCUUUCUUUCUUUUUGUAAGAUUUUAUUUAUUUGAGAGAGAGAGAAUGAACAGAGAGCGCGGCAGUGGGAGAGAGAGUGCAGUCUCCCCGCUGAACAGAGAGCCUAAUUCUGUACUGGUUUCCAGGACCCUGGGAUCAUGAUUGAGCUAAAGGCAGAUGCUUAACCACCUGAGCCACCCAGGUGCCCCUCAUCUACAUUUUUCAUUUACAUUUCCCCUUGAAGAAUGUGGAAUUUUAAUGUACGGGGGGGAGGAAAAACUGAGUGAAAAGGCUCUUCAUCAUGCAAUCAAAGAAAUAAAAUGAGCAUGUCUUUGUAGUUGUUGAUGUACACAGAUGAGUGAAGGAUUGCUGGGAUUUGCUGUUAGCUGACAUGCUGGUUGCCAGUGAAAAAGCAAACAUGACCCCUGGGGAUGUCCAUAAGAGCCCUGUGGAGUAGAAGGAAGGGACCUUGGUUCACAAGGGGAGAGAAGGAAAGGGAGUGGGGGAGGUUCCCUGGGGGCUCAGUCUUCCCAGCUCAGUUUCCUCUCUAAGCUUACCCACCAUUAGGCUCCUGUCCUAACCUUGGGCUCUUCAGGUUUUGGCUUGCCCAUCCCCAACGGAGUCAGCACACUCCCUGACCUUGAAUAAGCAGUUUUGCCUCUCCUGUCCUUGGUUAAAUACCUAUUGUUAGGAACUGAAUGUGUGUGCCCGUGCCCCCACCCCAUGGUUGUAUUUAGAGAUAAGGCUGAUGAGGAGGUUAAAUGAUGUCUUAGGAGUGGGGACCUGAAUCGGUAGCAUUGGUGCCCUUAGUAGAGGAAGAUACACGAGAGACCUCCCUUUCUGCCAUGUGAGGACACGGGAGAUGGCCAUCUACAAAUCAGUGUGGGCCCUCAUCAGGAAUGAAUCUGCCAGCACCUUGCUCUCGGACAUCCCAGCUUCUAGGACUAAGAUACAUUUGCUGUUUAAGCCACUCCAUUUAUGGUAGUUUGUUAUAGCGUCCCCAAAUGAUGGAGACGACUGCAAAAUAUGAGAAAAAUGUGGUAAUCUUCUCUGCCCUUUUCAUCACUAACAUUUUAUAUUUGAAAUCGUAGGUUUGAAAUAAGUGAUCAGACAUCAUAUUUACAUCUCUUCUUAGCUGAAUGAUGUGUGUGUGUGUGUGUGUGUCCCUAGAUCCUUCUAAAUCCUGUUGUGAUUCCUCAUGAUUCCAAAUGUCCAUAUUCUCCUCCAUACCUCUCCAUCUCUAAGUAGAAUGGAUUGGCUCUCAAAUUGUCUCUUAUUUAUUUAUUUAUUUUUAA
ensembl:lincRNA